UGCUUCUUGGCCUCGCCGAUGGCCAGCUG
rnacentral:sRNA from 1 species